GGAACUAAGUUUUUCCCGUAUAGUGUUACUCGUAUUCUCGUAGGGGUAACCUGCGGAGGGAUCAUUA
rnacentral:rRNA from 1 species